GGGGGGGGGGGGGGGGGGGGGGGGGGGGGGGGGGGGGGGGGGGGGGGGGGGGGGGGGGGGGGGGGGGGGGGGGGGGGGGGGGGGCUCCCGGCGGCGCCGCGCCGGGCACUGCCCUCGGCGCGCAUCGUGCGGCCGGCCUGACUCAGAGCCGGCUGCGCCUCGCCCGCCCUCCCCGGCUCUCCCCACCCCUCGCCGAGCAGUUCGCGCCUCCCUCCUGGUCAAGAGGCUCGAUGUCACCGAACGCUCCCUCAGUCUUGCUUGGCAUCGGUUGGAGGACUGCCACGGACUUACACACAGACCGCGACUCGCGACCACAUUUCCCCGCUUGUGUUUUUCCCGAGACAGGUCAGUCCCACCAAAGGCAGAAAUGAAUGCUGGGGAACAAGUAGCACAGACUGUUAUAAAGAAAGCAUUUGGAGGCCGUACUUGGAUCCUCGAGAAUGAUGUUCAGCUGAUUAGGGUGAACUUGCCCGUCUAUCCCAGCUUCCUAGCUACCGUAAUUACGUAUCUGCCAUAACUUCAGGUGAGUGCAGUCAGACCAUCUGUGCCUUCAGGAUGCCAAACCUCCACUCCCUAUACAGCCAACACAGAGAGAGCUCAUAUUCGGGCCACCUGCUACAGCUCUAACGGGAAGCGUUGCACCUCCUUCUCUCACAUCUGCUCAUUAAUCCCUGGAACGCCAAUGUCAAUAAUGACCGCUCAGUCUGCUGUGAGGGACUGAGUGGACAGUGGAUCUGUGACAAUGUAUCAUCAUCAUCAUCACCACAGAAGACUAUAGAAAGCAUCAAAAACAACUGGGAAGUAUCCCAUACCUGCGCUCGAAAGGCUUUGGAUCAGAAGGUCUGCCAGGGCUGUUGCCUGAUGAGCACUUGUGUGUCUCCUCUUCCCAGUGAGAUAACAUGGCUUUUUCUAGCCUGGUGGUGCAGUACGCAAAAGACUGUCCCCAAGUGCAGGAAUGAGCCUGGUAUGCUUUUGGCACUGUGCAGGUACAGCCCAAAGGCAAAGGCAGUUUCCAAGUGGAUGACUGAACUGGGAAAGCUUUGAAAAGUAUGUAACCUCCAGGGAGGUGAAGCAGCGAGAGUUGAAUGACAGCACAAGAGGCAGCUGGGUGCUCCUGUUUGGACACAUCUGCCAUCAAGGGAAGCCUUCUUAUGGAGGAGGAAAACUUAAUGGACACUCUGGCUGACAAGUAGAAUGACAUGCUUUCAGUAGAAUGGCAUUAAUA
rnacentral:lncRNA from 12 species